CCAACUUCCUCCCGGACAUGUAUGUUGCAGAAUGGCGAAACAGUGGUGAUCCAGGCUGCGUUUAUGAACCCUAUGGUCUAGGGUUUGUAGAACCAGUUCGUGAAUUUCUGUGACCUUCCCUCUCCGAUAAUCGGGUUUAUCUAUCGGAGUUGAAAUUCUUCAAUUUUCUGCGUUGGGAAGCAAUGGACGA